CGCCUGAGCUGUGACCGCCGCCACUGGGGCAGCCAGCACAAUUGGGCGGAGGUGGCGUUGCCCCUUCAGACCUGAAAGAUGUUUGAAAAUUCCAGUGACAGUGAUUCAUCUUGUGGUUGGACUGUCAUCAGUCAUGAGGGAUCAGAUAUAGAAAUGUUAAAUUCUGUGCCAGCCACUGACAGCUGUGAGCCCACCCUAGAAUGUUCAUCUUUAGAGCAAGAGGAACUUCAAGCAUUGCAGAUAGAGCAGGGAGCAGCCAAAAUGACACAGUGCUUAUAGAAGAAACUGCUUAUCCAGCUUUGGAGGAAACCAGCUCAACAAUUGAGGCAGAGGAAGAAAAGAUACCCGAAGAUGGUAUCUAUAUUGGAACUGCCAGUGAUGAUUCUGAUAUUGUUACCCUUGAGCCACCUAAGUUAGAAGAAAUUGGAAAUCAAGAAGUUGUCAUUGUUGAAGAAGUACAGAGUUCAGAAGACUUUAACAUGGGCUCUUCCUCUAGCAGCCAGUGUACUUUCUGUCAGCCAGAAACUGUAUUUUCAUCUCAGCCUAGUGACGAUGAAUCAAGUAGUGAUGAAACCAGUAACCAGCCCAGUCCUGCCUUUAGACGACGCCGUGCUAGGAAGAAGACUGUUUGUACUUCAGAAUCUGAAGACCGGCUAGUUGCUGAACAAGAAACCGAACCUUCUAAGGAGCUGAGUAAACAUCAGUUCAGUAGUGGUCUCAAUAAGUGUGUUAUACUUGCUUUGGUGAUUGCAAUCAGCAUGGGAUUUGGACAUUUCUAUGGCACAGUUCAGAUUCAGAAGCGUCAACAGUUAGUCAGAAAGAUACAUGAAGAUGAAUUGAAUGAUACGAAGGAUUAUCUUUCCCAGUGUCAACAGGAACAAGAGUCUUUCAUAGAUUAUAAGUCAUUGAAAGAAAAUCUUGCAAGGUGUUGGACACUUACUGAAGCAGAGAAGAUGUCCUUUGAAACUCAGAAAAUGAACCUUGCUACAGAAAAUCGGUAUUUAAGAGUAUCUCUGGAGAAGGAAGAAAAAGCCUUAUCCUCAUUACAGGAAGAGUUAAACAAACUAAGAGAACAGAUUAGAAUAUUGGAAGAUAAAGGGACAAGUACUGAAUUAGUUAAAGAAAAUCAGAAACUUAAGCAGCAUUUGGAAGAGGAAAAGCAGAAAAAACACAGCUUUCUUAGUCAAAGGGAGACUCUGUUGGCAGAAGCAAAGAUGCUAAAGAGGGAACUGGAGAAAGAACGACUAGUAACUACGGCUUUAAGGGGAGAACUCCAGCAGUUAAGUGGUAGUCAGUUACAUGGCAAGUCCAAUUCUCCCAAUGUAUACACUGAAAAAAAGGAAAUAGCAAUCUUACGGGAAAGACUCACUGAGCUGGAAUGGAAGCUAACCUUCGAACAGCAGCGUUCUGAUUUGUGGGAAAGAUUGUAUGUUGAGGCAAAAGAUCAAAGUGGAAAACAAACGGAUGGAAAAAAGAAAGGGGGCAGAGGAAACCACAGGGCUAAAAAUAAGUCAAAGGAAACAUUUUGGGGUUCAGUUAAGGAAACAUUUGAUGCCAUGAAGAAUUCUACCAAGGAGUUUGUGAGGCAUCACAAAGAGAAAAUUAAGCAGGCUAAAGAAGCUGUGAAGGAAAAUCUGAAAAAAUUCUCAGACUCAGUUAAAUCCACUUUCAGACAUUUUAAAGAUACCACCAAGAAUAUCUUUGAUGAAAAGGGUAAUAAAAGAUUUGGUGCUACAAAAGAAGCUGCUGAAAAAGCAAGAACAGUUUUUAGUGACUAUUUACAUCCACAGUAUAAGGCACCUACAGAAAACCAUCAUAAUAGAGGCCCUACUAUGCAAAAUGAUGGAAGGAAAGAAAAGCCAGUUCACUUUAAAGAAUUCAGAAAAAAUACAAAUUCAAAGAAAUGCAGUCCUGGCCAUAAUUGUAGAGACAAUUCUCAUUCUUUCAGAAAGGCUUGUUCUGGUGUAUUUGAUUGUGCUCAACAAGAGUCCAUGAGCCUUUUUAACACAGUGGUGAAUCCUAUAAGGAUGGAUGAAUUUAGACAGAUAAUUCAAAGGUACAUGUUAAAAGAACUGGAUACUUUUUGUCACUGGAACGAACCUGAUCAGUUCAUCAAUAAGUUUUUCCUAAAUGGUGUCUUUAUACAUGAUCAGAAGCUCUUCACUGACUUUGUUAAUGAUGUUAAAGAUUAUCUUAGAAACAUGAAGGAAUAUCAAGUAGAUAAUGAUGGAGUAUUUGAGAAGUUGGAUGAAUAUAUAUAUAGACACUUCUUUGGUCACACUUUUUCCCCUCCAUAUGGACCCAGGUUGGUUUACAUAAAACCAUGUCAUUACAGUAGUUUGUAACAUUUGUAGAUUGGAUAGCAUUUUUAUGAUUUGAUGAGUUUCUUGGAAGGUUACUGUUUCUAAGAGUUGUGCUUUAUUGCCACUGAGAAUUCAGAAUAAAUUGAAAGGUGGAGUCUAAAAAUUAUUAGGUGUUACAAAUAGAACAUUUCAUUAUAACGUAAUCACUUUGAUUUGAGCAAAUGGUUUAAUUUUUAUCCUAAAAAUCAGUUAAGAAUAUAUAAAAUCCUAUUUUGGCCAAGUUUGUUUCUUUUCAGUAUAGUUUAUAAUGAAAAGAUCACCUUGAGUGAAAUUAUUUUCCUUUAAUCUUUUGUGUAUUUAUUCACUUUCGGAAGCUAGGAGUGAGCAACACAAAUUUUACUCUGAAGUCAGAAGAGCUCAUAUAUAAUAAUUCGAAUGCCCCACCUAUUUUCACUUGUCCAUUCCACAUACCAGCUUACUUAAGAUACUUAAUACUUAAUCACAUAAUUAUCUUUGAUAAAGGUAGAGGCACAAAGAGGCAACUGAGCAAGUCAGAUUCUAAUGUGUGUACCUCAUAAUAAUUUUUUAUCCAUUUUCAUCUUUAUAUUUUGUAACAUGAAACUUACCUAAUCUUAAAAUGUUAGCUUCACUUUUUACCUAUGAAAUACUUAUCUUUCUGAAUAAAUAUAAUGUGUCUAUAAAA